CUCCACCUUGUGAUAUUCUCCUCUAAGCUUCUGGUAUAGACUCUUUACCGAAAACCUCUCAAUCUGUUCACUGCUAGCUCAUUCCAUUCAGUUGCUUCAAAAGUUUUAGUUGCCUGCAGUAUUUUCCUCACGAGCCAUGAUGCCUGAGGAGCUUGAGCCCCCUAUAUUGUUCCAUGUUUCCCAUAGUAUAAGUGUACCCACCUUACCCAUAAUCUUCUUCUUGCAUAAGUUCCAUAGGAGUUUGCUGAUUGCUGCUCUAUUCUAUGUUUGUAUAUCAAGAAAGUUCAAACCCCCUGCUGCAUAAGGCCUACAUAACUGUUCCCAAGCAACCAAAGCUUUUUUUGAUAUGUCAACUCCUCCAGAC
rnacentral:lncRNA from 1 species